AAAAAUCGCUGACAAUCUUAAAGCCUCGACCAUGAGAUCGAUUCCCAAACCAAAUAGGCGUUUGGCCAAGCUCAAUGCCUAAUACAUUUGUGGGGCUUGGAAUUCCAAUUCAACGUAACACUGUUCAAGGUUACUGGCUUAUAUUGACUUCACCAGUACCAUGACGAUUGGAUUGGGACAUGAUUCACAAACAGGAACGUACAAGCUGUGUUCUAGACAAAUUCAACAAUUCCUUGUAAUUACUUUAAACAAUGUGUCAGUUCUAUGUUUCAUGAACAGACAAUAUUUAUCUUGUUUACGCAACUUCUUUCAAUUUGGCCUGAAAUCGAUUACUCUUAAAUGCAUAACAAGCUGGCAACAAUAAGAGUGUAACAAUCUGACCCGUCUCUAUCCUUAUUAAACUACGAUUAGCACAAGAGUCCAAAUGAAUACCAUGAAAUUCAGGAUUAAACAUACUACAAUUAAUGUCUUAGUUAACACAGUACCAGCGUGAUGUUAAUUCAAGUUUAAACUCAUUCCAAACCAACUAGUUUUGUGUCUUGAUUCUAUAACUUUAAAACUACAACAGAGUUAAUAUAAAAUUGAUGCAACUACAACAUUGAGACAGCUCUGCAGCAAUCAGCAAGAGGCAUUCAUAAUCAUACGAAUCAAUGAAACUUCUUUGUUUUUUUGCAUUCCAGCUCACAACUACAUUGAAAUAAGUUCAAAAUGGUACCUGGAAAAUUGCAACACAAGGAAAAUGAAGAUCAGCCGGAGCAAACAGUAGGCAUAGCAGCGAGGAUCAGUAAAAUCUAGCCCAGAAUUCAGUCAGAAGAGAUUUAGAAACCAACGAUGAAUCAAAUAUGCUUUGCAAAAUAGGACUAAAAAUGAUGCACGCAAUGUUACAACGCCCAGAUAGCAACCAACAGCAACCAAAACAACCCAAAUCACACUUGAUCAACCAGUUUUAAGUCGAAAUCACCCAGAUAUAACAUCAACAACUUUGAAACAGAUUCAGUGAACAACAGAGGUGAAUACUAGUGCAUAGAACUCAGAUUUUGUCUAGGAAAGCAAUGAAACAGUGCCAUUUUUUGUUUUCUGAAAGCUUUUGCUACUUUUUUUUGAAUUUUCUUUUGAUUGAGCUAAGAUCUAAGGAAUUUCAGAUCUGAAAUUGUUAAUUCCAGAUCUGAGAGCUUGGGG
rnacentral:lncRNA from 1 species